rnacentral:snRNA from 1 species
AUACUUACCUGGCAAGGGAGAUACUGUGAUCAAGAAGCAGUUCACCCAGGGCGAGGCUCAGCCAUUGCACUGCGGCUGUGCUGACCCCUGCGAAUUUCCAAAUGUGGAAAUCUCGAUUGCAUAAUUUAUGGUAGUGGGGGACUGCGUUCGCGCUCUCCCCUG